rnacentral:rRNA from 1 species
UCCAGACUCCUACGGGAGGCAGCAGUGGGGAAUAUUGCACAAUGGGGGAAACCCUGAUGCAGCGACGCCGCGUGAGCGAUGAAGUAUUUCGGUAUGUAAAGCUCUAUCAGCAGGGAAGAAAAUGACGGUACCUGACUAAGAAGCCCCGGCUAACUACGUGCCAGCAGCCGCGGUAAUACGUAGGGGGCAAGCGUUAUCCGGAUUUACUGGGUGUAAAGGGAGCGUAGACGGUGAUGCAAGUCAGAAGUGAAAGCCCGCGGCUCAACUGCGGGACUGCUUUUGAAACUGUAUAACUAGAGUGCAGGAGAGGUAAGCGGAAUUCCUAGUGUAGCGGUGAAAUGCGUAGAUAUUAGGAGGAACACCAGUGGCGAAGGCGGCUUACUGGACUGUAACUGACGUUGAGGCUCGAAAGCGUGGGGAGCAAACAGGAUUAGAUACCCGUGUAA